GUGUCAGCCGCCGCGGUAAUACGUAGGGUGCAAGCGUUGUCCGGAAUUAUUGGGCGUAAAGAGCUCGUAGGCGGUUCGUCGCGUCGGCUGUGAAAACCCGGAGCUCAACUCCGGGCCUGCAGUCGAUACGGGCGGACUUGAGUGUUGCAGGGGAGACUGGAAUUCCUGGUGUAGCGGUGAAAUGCGCAGAUAUCAGGAGGAACACCGGUGGCGAAGGCGGGUCUCUGGGCAACUACUGACGCUGAGGAGCGAAAGCGUGGGGAGCGAACAGGAUUAGAUACCCUGGUAGUCCACGCCGUAAACGUUGGGCGCUAGGUGUGGGGGCCAUUCCACGGUCUCCGUGCCGCAGCUAACGCAUUAAGCGCCCCGCCUGGGGAGUACGGCCGCAAGGCUAAA
rnacentral:rRNA from 1 species